CCUACGGGUGACAGCAGUGGGGAAUAUUGGUCAAUGGCCGUAAGGCUGACCCAGCCAAGUCGCGUGAAGGAAGAAGGACCUAUGGUUUUUAAACUUCUUCUAUAGGGGAAUAAAUGUAUCCACGUGUCGGUAUUUGCAUGUACCCUAUGAUUAUGCACCGGCUAACUCCGUUCCAUCAGCCGCGGCAAUACGGAGGGUGCGAGCGUUAUCCGGAUUUAAUGGGUUUAAAGGGAACGUAGGUUGUUUUUUAAGUCAGUGGUUAAAGUUUCUGGCUCAGCCAUACCAUGGCCUUUGAAACUAGAAGACUUGAGUGUGAGUGAGGUAGGCAGAAUGCGUGGUGUAGCGGUGAAAGGCAUAGAUAUCACGAAGAAUACCGAUUGCGAAGGCAGCUUACUAAGCCAUAACUGACACUGAAGCACGAAAGCGUGGGGAGCAAACAGGAUUAGAUACCCUGGUAGUC
rnacentral:rRNA from 1 species